rnacentral:rRNA from 1 species
GACGAACGCUGGCGGCGUGCCUAACACAUGCAAGUCGAACGGAAAGGCCCUGCUCUUGCGGGGUGCUCGAGUGGCGAACGGGGGAGUAACACGCGAGUAAAAUGCCCCUGACUUUGGGAUAACAUCAGGAAACAGGGGCUAAUACAGGAUAGGAGAUCUUGAUGCACGGGGGGGGAUGGAAAGUUACGGCGGUUGGGGAUGGACUCGCGGGUUAUCAGCUGGUUGGUGGGGUUGUGGCUGUCCAGGGCUUUGACGGGUAGCCGGCGUUAGAGGGUGACCGGCCACAUUGGGACUGCGGUACGGCCCAGUCUCCUACGGGCGGCAGCAGUGGGGAGUAUUGCACAGUGGGCCGAAGCCUGAUGCAGCAACGCCGCGUGCGUAAUGACGGCCUUCGGGUUGUAAACCGCUUUCGCCUGUGACGAAGCGUGAGUGACGGUAAUGGGUAAAGAAGCACCGGCUAACUACGUG